rnacentral:rRNA from 1 species
UACGAAGGGGGCUAGCGUUGCUCGGAAUCACUGGGCGUAAAGGGUGCGUAGGCGGGUUUUUAAGUCGGGGGUGAAAUCCUGGAGCUCAACUCCAGAACUGCCUUCGAUACUGAGAGACUUGAGUUCGGGAGAGGUGAGUGGAACUGCGAGUGUAGAGGUGAAAUUCGUAGAUAUUCGCAAGAACACCAGUGGCGAAGGCGGCUCACUGGCCCGAUACUGACGCUGAGGUGCGAAAGCGUGGGGAGCAAACAGG